rnacentral:rRNA from 1 species
CGAAAGCCUGACGGAGCAACGCCGCGUGCGGGAGGACGGCCUGUGGGUUGUAAACCGCUUUUCUCAGGGAAGAAGAUCUGACGGUACCUGAGGAAUCAGCAUCGGCUAACUCCGUGCCAGCAGCCGCGGUAAUACGGAGGAGGCAAGCGUUAUCCGGAAUGAUUGGGCGUAAAGCGUCCGCAGGUGGCAAUGUAAGUCUGCUGUCAAAACCCAGGGCUCAACUCUGGUCAGGCAGUGGAAACUGAAUAGCUAGAGUGCGGUAGGGGCAGAGGGAAUUCCCGGUGUAGCGGUGAAAUGCGUAGAGAUCGGGAAGAACACCGGUGGCGAAAGCGCUCUGCUGGGCCGCAACUGACACUGAGGGACGAAAGCUAGGGGAGCG